rnacentral:tRNA from 1 species
GGGGUAGUAGCUCAGUUGGUAGAGCACCAUGCUUUUAACAUGGUAAAUGGACUAAAAAUCCAUUUUCAGAAGUUCAUCGGGUCUUCUUUA